UACGUAGGGGGCUAGCGUUGUUCGGAAUUACUGGGCGUAAAGGGCGCGUAGGCGGAUAGUUCAGUCAGAGGUGAAAGCCCAGGGCUCAACCUUGGAACUGCCUUUGAUACUGGCUAUCUUGAGUUUGGGAGAGGUGUGUGGAACUCCGAGUGUAGAGGUGAAAUUCGUAGAUAUUCGGAAGAACACCAGUGGCGAAGGCGACACACUGGCCCAAAACUGACGCUGAGGCUCGAAAGCGUGGGGAGCAAACAGG
rnacentral:rRNA from 1 species